rnacentral:lncRNA from 1 species
GAAAGCUGCUAUGAUAGCUAAAGGACAGCUUAAAUCCAACACAAACCAAGGCCUCUUGACGCAAGAGACAAGAGUGCCAGGUGUUAGUCAGACGGGAGCAGCAUCGAAUUAGAGCUCCUGCAUAUUCCAGCUCACAGGUUUUUGUGUAUCACAGUUAAUUUCUGCACACAAGUUCACACUAGACUUAUGAAAAAAGAAUCACUGAUUUCAGAUCCUUGUGGCGUCGUGAGAUUUAAUACAAUCAAGUCGAGGGCUGCAAGACAAGAUCGCGUUCCCAAGCACUGACACUAGAUGGAGCAAAACUGAAUACAAGAUUUAGAGCAGUGAAGAGAAAAAUAAAAAAGUUCCCGCAUUUCUGCAACUCUAAUGUGCUACUCAUUUGAAUUCUCACCUUUGAUUAUGGCUCUGAAAGUCACAAUUAAUAGCUCACUCUUUACAUUUUGCAGGUCAAACACGGGAUCAAGCCAAAACAGAGAUGACAGCAAUACAAUAAGAAACCAAAGUACAAGAGAUCAAUAACCCUUUUGCAAUCAACAGUUACCUGGUCUGAGGAUCAAUAGGAGCCUCUUGUGCACGGGCAGGAAUCCCAACAAUACCAAUCCUUUUCUUUGUUCUUUAGUUGAAAGGCUGAUUGAUUAUUUACAGGAAGAGUUUAUAGUGCAGCUAACUUCAAUCACCUGCACCCAAAAGGCCUGCAAUCCCCCUCAGCAUGUCUAUGCAGGAGAUGUGUGAGGAAAAUAAAAUAGAUGAGCUCUGUUCA